rnacentral:rRNA from 1 species
AGAACCUGAAACCGUGUACGUACAAGCAGUGGGAGCACAGGUUUACCUGUGUGACUGCGUACCUUUUGUAUAAUGGGUCAGCGACUUAUAUUCUGUAGCAAGGUUAACCGCAUAGGGGAGCCGCAGGGAAACCGAGUCUUAACCGGGCGUUAAGUUGCAGGGUAUAGACCCGAAACCCGGUGAUCUAGCCAUGGGCAGGUUGAAGGUUGGGUAACACUAACUGGAGGACCGAACCGACUAAUGUUGAAAAAUUAGCGGAUGACCUGUGGCUGGGGGUGAAAGGCCAAUCAAACCGGGAGAUAGCUGGUUCUCCCCGAAAGCUAUUUAGGUAGCGCCUCGUGAAUUCAUCUCCGGGGGUAGAGCACUGUUUCGGCUAGGGGGCCAUCCCGGCUUACCAACCCGAUGCAAACUGCGAAUACCGGAGAAUGUUAUCACGGGAGACACACGGCGGGUGCUAACGUCCGUCGUGAAGAGGGAAACAACCCAGACCGCCAGCUAAGGUCCCAAAGUCAUGGUUAAGUGGGAAACGAUGUGGGAAGGCCCAGACAGCCAGGAUGUUGGCUUAGAAGCAGCCAUCAUUUAAAGAAAGCGUAAUAGCUCACUGGUCGAGUCGGCCUGCGCGGAAGAUGUAACGGGGCUAAACCAUGCACCGAAGCUGCGGCAGCGAACGUAUCACCCAAGACAACUUUGCGGAGUUGACGAUUGACGGAGCGAAGCGACGUCAAAGCGUUCAUUAAAGUCGAGUUGGCUUAGGGAUACGUUCGUU